AUGCUUGCUAAUGACUCAUGGCCAGCGCAUGUCUUUACAGAGCAGGGUUUACAGCACACACCAGCCCAGGAAGGCAGCACGGGGACCCGGCAUGGGGAGGGACACGCAGAAUCUGGAAUCCAAAGAGGAAAGUAUUUGCAAAAGCUCUGUGGCUUCAGGGUCUUUGCACUCCCAACAGCAGGAGGAGAUGAGAAGCUCCCAAGACAGGCUGUUCUCCUGAGGCUCCCAGCCCAAUGUCCAGGAACUGGGGCAGGUCCAGUGCAUUCAAGGGGAUGGAUUUUCCUUCAGAGGGAUGAAAUAUUCAGCACGUUGUUACCUUUUUCUGUGGAUCAUCAGCUCCGUGACAAUCCAAGGGAAGGUCUUUGCUGGAAGCCUGUCCAGGAGCCUCCCACCACCAGUGCCUCAGCAGCGUGUCCAUGCCGUAUGCUGAUCAUCCGUGUUAUUCCACCUGAUUGGUUCAUCCUGGGACAAACCCAGCCUGGCCUCCAAACGCGUCGCUGGGAUUCGGGAGCCAGACCUUUUCUGCAGGGCAAUCCAGCUAAAGCAGAGGCUGAAGCAGUGACUGCAGAGGGCGUUCCUAGAGCCACCAGGCAGCAAGGCCCGUGGUGAUGGGAGUGAUCCUGCUGUGCCUGAGGGGUGGUCAGGCUGUCCCAGCUGUCCCAGGGCUGGGGUGCUGCAGGACAGACCCCGAGUGCGGAGCACAAACCACCGGCACACCAGAAACCCUCCUGAGUGUUCUCUGGAGCCAGGAACACCUGGAAACACUUCAAUCACCUCCCUCACGUCUCCACGAGACAGAAGAAAUCCAGGGGCUUCAUCAACAGUGCCUUUGCCAGGAGCAAUGGAAACAGGACCUUCAGCCCAGUUUGGAUGGAGCCUGGAGCGCCCAAAGCCCCUCCCUGUGCCCCCAGCAGAGCGCGCCCACCCUGGACCUGUGCUCUCUCCUUUUGUGUUUGCCCCUCUGCUUGCUAUAAACACCAUCCUGUAUUUUACAGAGGGCAAGAGAUGGCACCACACUCAUUGAUGUUGUAACAUUCUCCAAGGGUGCAAAAUAAAACCAGUUUGGCAUUCCA
rnacentral:lncRNA from 1 species